rnacentral:rRNA from 1 species
GAUCCAGACUCCUACGGGAGGCAGCAGUGAGGAAUAUUGGUCAAUGGUCGGGAGACUGAACCAGCCAAGCCGCGUGAGGGAGGAAGGUACAGAGUAUCGUAAACCUCUUUUGUCAGGGAACAAAGACUGGGACGCGUCCCCGGAUGAGUGUACCUGAAGAAAAAGCAUCGGCUAACUCCGUGCCAGCAGCCGCGGUAAUACGGAGGAUCCGAGCGUUAUCCGGAUUUAUUGGGUUUAAAGGGAGCGUAGAUGGGUUGUUAAGUCAGUUGUGAAAGUUUGCGGCUCAACCGUAAAAUUGCAAUUGAUACUGGCAGCCUUGAGUACAGUUGAGGUAGGCGGAAUUCGUGGUGUAGCGGUGAAAUGCUUAGAUAUCAUGAAGAACUCCGAUCGCGAAGGCAAGUGUCCGGGGUGCAACUGACGCUGAGGCUCGAAAGUGCGGGUAUCAAACAGGAUUAGAUACCCGAGUA